rnacentral:lncRNA from 1 species
CGUACUGUCCAAACGGUUCGUUGUGCAUGGAGAACUGAUCAGCUUCCCUGUCUUCCUCUCUAUCAUCAUCAACCCCGAAUAAUGGAGGGAACAGACUGUCUUUCAUAUUCUGACCCAUCGGACCAGGUUGACCACCAGUAGCAGCACCAAAACCAGCAACAUUGUUCACCAUGCCCACAGUCGUUCUUUUUCCACCAUCUCUCGAACCACCAAGCCCCUGGUUGGAG